GAUGAAGAACGCAGCGAAAUGCGAUAAGUAAUGUGAAUUGCAGAAUUCAGUGAAUCAUCGAGUCUUUGAACGCACAUUGCGCCCCCUGGUAUUCCGGGGGGCAUGCCUGUCCGAGCGUCAUUGCCGCCCUCAAGCACGGCUUGUGUGUUGGGCCCCCGCCCCCCGGCUUCGGGGGGCGGGCCCGAAAGGCAGCGGCGGCACCGCGUCCGGUCCUCGAGCGUAUGGGGCUUCGUCACCCGCUCUGUAGGCCCGGCCGGCGCCCGCUGGCGACCCCAAUCAAUCUUUCCAGGUUGACCUCGGAUCAGGUAGGGAUACCCGCUGAACUUAAGCAUAUCAAUAAGCGGAGGA
rnacentral:misc_RNA from 1 species